AAACCAACAGGGAUUGCCUCAGUAACGGCGAGUGAAGCGGCAAAAGCUCAAAUUUGAAAGCCCUCGGGCAUUGUAAUUUGUAGGCCGAGUGGUAUAGCGCUUAGGAUGUCAAGUCCCUUGGAACAGGGUGCCUUAGAGGGUGACAGCCCCGUAGACGUCUCGCAGUGCUUCGCACCAGUCGACCAAAGAGUCGAGUUGUUUGGGAAUGCAGCUCAAAGUGGGUGGUAAAUUCCAUCUAAAGCUAAAUACCGGCGAGAGACCGAUAGCGAACAAGUACAGUGAUGGAAAGAUGAAAAGCACUUUGAAAAGAGAGUGAAACAGUACGUGAAAUUGUUGAAAGGGAAGGGCUUGCAAGCAGACACGGCCUCGGCCGGGCCAGCGUGGGUUGCCAGGGGUGGACAAGACGGCGGGAACUUACAUUGUGAAGGUCCCGCUGGAAUACACCCACCGGCGUCUUUUUUCUGGCGUAAUGGUUGCAAGCCGCCCGUCUUGAAACACGGACCAAGGAGUCUAACGUCUAUGCGAGUGUUUGGGUGA
rnacentral:rRNA from 1 species